GGUGUAGUAAACUGGAGCCUCGGUGUAGUAUUCCGGUUCAACGUAGUACGAAGGAGCAGCAGCCGCUGUGUAGUAAGUCUGAACCCAAAUUACAACGAGGCUC